CUGUGCUGUCCUCUGGAGGAGGCAGAAAGCCAUGCAGACCAGAGCAUUAGCACCCCUUGUUGCCUCCACCCUCGGCUGAAGUUUCUGACCCGUGGAAAGGAAGAGACUUUACAACUUCAGAUCUGCCCACUCGCUUAACCAGGCCAAGCUUGAAUGCCCCAGGUGCUUGUGGGAGCUUGGGAGAGAUGCCAUCUGUCUUCACAGCCUGUGUCCUUCCUCCCGGCUCCCUCUUCCCAUCAGGCUGCCUUAUCCAGGGACAGAGCUGCUGGUGCCCGGCACCCAAGAAGCCCAGUGAAGCCAGGCUGUGUCCCCCAACCCCCGCCCAGUGUUCAGUGGCUCAUUUCUUGGGAGGGCUCAGGCCUGGGAUCAGCUGGGGAGCUGGGCCCUGCUAUGCCAUAGGCCAGUUCGCUCUCCCAGUGUCCUGCCUGGCCAGCAGAGUCCACAGGUCUUUGUCGAGCCGAGUUGAGCUGUCUCUUACACCAGCUUCUGGUUUGGCCCUUGCCAUUCAAGACCUGUGUCACCCUGAGCAGCUGACUUCACGCCUGUGAACCUGUCUCCUCCGGGAAACGGGAAUGUAACCUCUGUUCCACAAGGUGUGUGGUGAGAGCCUGAGCUGGAGGAGAGGCCAGCCAGUCACCCCUCUCCUGUCCUGCCUUGCAUGGCCUCCCCCAUCACCUACCUGUGGCUUGUGGGGCUUAGACUUUGGGUCUGGGGGUUGCCUGCAAUGAAGAAAAAGGGCUUGUGGUAAGCAGAGCAGGCAUGGGAUCCGGGUGGCUUCCUCUGUUUUACCCUGCUGCCCCCCGCCACCCGGCCACCUCACACGUCCAUACCAGCAGCCUCUGGGCAGAGAGGGGCUGGGCACCAGCAGCUCCAGAUAGGGGAGGGCCUUGAACUCCUCCUCUCCGACCGCCACAUAAUAAUGGCCAUGCAUCAGAGCGUCUCUUGCUGACAGUGGGAGCCCCUCCAGGGUGCAGAGUCUGGGGGAGAGACGUAGUGGGUAAAGGCUGGUGGACAAGAUGCCUCUGCAUACUCGGCAGACUACACCGGGCUGGGCACAGCUACUCCAAGGUACCCGUUGGCUGCUGACCCUCCGGGCACCUGGGCCAGUCACCUCGGCUCUACCCUACUCCAGGGGCUCAGUGGAGGGACCCCUCCCUGUGGCACAGAAGGAAGUCCCAUUUGGGGAGGCACAAGGACAGCCGAAAUCAGCAGGGAGCCUCCCUCCAUGGCCCCGGGGGCCUCCCCAGGGGCCCGCACUCACUUGCACACAGCCCCGGCCCGAAGCUUGGCCUUCUCAGUCAGGAGCUUCAACACGGCUUCCCAGUCCUCGCCAGCAGCCUGGGGCAACUUCAGGCUAAAUGGGGGACUUACCAGGUCCCCGUUCCUGAACACACUGAGACAAAAAGCAGUCUGGUAAGGUGAAGAGACCCCAGAACGCCCCACACAUGAGAGGAAGAAGGGCAGCACAGGGCCGGAGAUGGUCUAAGAACGGAGGCAUUGGUCCGUUUUCACCCAUCAAGCAUGCUGGCACUUUUUCUAUCCCCACCAGUGACCAGGGGCUCCUGGAACAAACCCACCCACAUUUUCUUGGUCUUACUGAAACAAAAUCUGUUUCUGCUCCCCAACACUGGCACUCACCGAAUAUAGCAGGGGGAACGUGCAAGUGGUCGCGGUCCAAGGGUCCCGUCCCCUGGGUAGUGAGUCACAGGAGGACCCUGAAACCCAAGUCAGGCCCUCAGAUCAGGAGAGAGUUGAGGCCUUUGGCUACGGAUGGGUCAGUCCAAGUGGGUUGGAUGAGUGAAGGAGGGGGCAAGGAGGGACGGGAUGAAUCACACCUUUCACCAAAAGAAGCUUCUACCUCUCCAAAGUUACAUUCUGCCCAUCCCUUUGCCCCCAUAUGUUUUACAGCUUCCUCUUUCCUUUGGGGACCACAACCUGGAGAUAAAGUAACAGGCUGGGUGAGGAGCAAGGGGUAGUCUUGAAACCCUGUACCCCAGGGAGGGUAGCAGCUGGCUCCAGAGUGGAUGUGGAGAGUACCCCCCCACCAUGGACCUGACAGAUCCUGUUGUUUCCAGAACCCUUGGCUUCCCAGACGAAAUUGGGGGGCAAUCCCAAGAGGGGUAAGAAGACAGAGGGCUGGAGGCCAGCCUCCCCCAAGACUCACUGGUAGUCUGCUGCUCUUCCCACCUGGAUCCUUCUGUCCGGGGGGUAAAUAGCUAUAAGGACAGAAGGGUUACAGGUCAUCUGGGGGAGCCUGGGACCGUACCCCACUGGUAGCUGCCAGAGUGAGGGUCUAGGGUGCAGCUUACCAGGUAUUCCUUCCCACCUGGAUAGUCUCAAGACAUCUGUCCAGAAACAGAUGCUGGCCCUUGAACCUGCCUUAGGGCCUGGCAUCAGGCUGACUAUCUGGAUCGGGGGCUCAGACACAAGCCAUUAAGGUAAAGGGUCAAGAGAAACUAAUUCACUCAGCAUCAUAUUGUAGCUUAGAAAUUCUCUCAUUCAUGAGGUUUUAUCUCAUUUUCUGUGAGAUGGAGAAAGUUAUGAGCCUACAGUAACACGGAAGUAAGUGACAGAGCCCGGAUUCUAAGUCUCUCUGGCUUCCCACCCCUUGCUCCUUACGCUAUCACAAGGAACGCCAGGGGACAGCUGAGUAGCACCUGGAAGCCAGAUCUGAGUUGGAAGCUCAGAUACUCAAAAUUCUUCUCCAUCUUGGAAGGCAUGGCUGCACCCCGCAGAGGGGGAUGACCCCGCCUGGGAGAGCACAGGAUGAUUGAUCACAGCAGGGAGGAAGUGAGGGAUGGAGUUAGCGUUUGGUGAUGGUGGUGGUAGAGGAACCAAUCAAGAAGAGCCUUUGG